UAUCCAUGGCUGCUUCUAGGUUUAACGAAACUCCCCUUCACUCAUUCAUGGGCCACCCAAUGUUAAGGAUUAUAAGUAUCAGAUUGGUAUAUACAUACCCACAGCCCACGGGGUCGGAAACUAACGAGGUAAGUAAUUCUUCAUACAAAACAUUUCAAGAAAACCCAUAUAGCCAUUGCCAGUGAACUUCUUGUUAAAAGCAGGUUUGCGUGUACCACAAGGUAUUGCUGAUGCUAGUACUGUCGUUCAUGUUCAGAAACACAGAUACAGUGUCGUUUCCUGAAGUGGUUGACAAUGAUACUUUCCUGUUCAUAUCUUCGUUCUGCUCAGGAGGACACUCUUCCGCCUUGGUCUGAGGUUACGGUAGAUUUUGUUUUUUGGGUAUAGGAAACAAAUUUUCAGAAUUGGAAACGUUGUUUUCUGACAACAACUGUGAAUUGGAGUUUAGAGAACACACACCAGAAGAUCGUUUGCGUUUAAGAGGGAAGUGAAAACAUUGUCCAGAACGCAAGCGUACUUAACAUGUUUCUUGACCUAGCUCUACCUUGCUGCCUUAUCACAGCAAAUCUCUGAGGCUUGGUUUUGUUUUUUUUCUCUUUUGUUUUGAUCUGUUCUUGUGCAGGUCAAAUGUUGCAGCAACUUUUACAUGGCCUUGAUCAUUGGCACACCCUUGGUGUAUUGCAUGGGGACAUAAAGGACUCCAACCUUCUGAUAGAUAAUAAUGGAGUUCUAAAGAUUGCUGACUUUGGCCUGGCUUGUUUCUUCGAUCCUCGUCAAACUCUGCCUUUGACAAGCCGUGUGGUUACUCUUUGGUACCGACCACCCGAACUUUUGCUCGGAGCAACUCACAAUGGUGUUGUAGUAGAUUUAUGGAGUACAGGCUGCAUUCUUGCUGAACUAUAUGCAGAUGCCCGGUGGAACGGUAGCACAAAAUCUUCAAGCUAUGUGGCUCGCCUUCCGAUGACUGCCGGAGAAAAUCAUAGCUGCCUCAUGAGUCAUGCUACAAUUUUCAGCUGUAUCGACGUGUUGUGACUGUUAGCGGACUAAAUGAGCUAGAGACGAGUUUGGAGCAUGGAGCAACAACAGAAGAAGUCACCAAUCAGCAAAGCAACCAAUAUGGAAAGUCAUCAUCAAAUUGACAACCGUUGGAGAAUGCAGAACAUAUGGAGAUCAUAUCAGCAACUUUCCCUCUAGCAUUCAUACACCAAUAUUACAUAUAUUCAUGUAUCCUGUAAUUGUAUACUUUCCAUUUUCAUCUUUCUAGGUUUCUUGUAUAUAUAUUGUAUAUUAUCUAAGGUCUGAAUAUAUGAGAGAAAUACUUUUCUUCCAA